CACACACACACACACACACACACAGACCUCCUUCUCUCUCUCUCCCCCUCAGAGUGGCCCACCAUGGCCUGGGUCUUCAGUGAGAGCAGAGGGAGGAGACACACUAAACUUCCUCAGUCUCAACUCUGAACUGAAUGGUCUCUAUGUCUGUGAGGCCUCCAACCCUACGGACGAGCAACUGGCUCCUUCUAUGUACACACAUCCUCUGAGACCUCUGCUGCCUGUUGGGUUCUACUAGUUGUCAUUCUCUGUCUGACUGUUGCUGCGGCUGCACUCAUAUGGUACCAGUGCAAAUACGGACAGUUUCCUUGGUAAUAUCAACUACUGUAAUAUUAUGAACUUAAUUUUGCAUUUAAAAAUAAAUGAAUUGCCAUUAGAUGAUCAUAUAUUGAUUUGGCUCAAGUUCAUAUAAUAUUUUUGGGGGGGAGUUCAAUGACAGGAGUUCAAUCAUGGCCAAUCACCAGUUCCAGGCACCACCACAGGUUGAGGAAGAUGAACCUGGGACUUCUGGGAUCUGACACUCCAAACCAGGAAGGCGGAUAAGGAACAAAUAGUUUGAUGACAGACUGAGAGCGGAUGGAUGCCAGAAGAAUCUCAGACAUGCACUGGGUGUGGGAAGAAUUCCAGUCUGCACAUUCUCCAAUUUUCUAACCAUCUAAUGAACAGAGACCCUAUGCAGUAUUCACUGUGACAUUAGAAACCUCGGCUCGGCCACUCCUCCACCACAGCUUUACAUAGUGCUGGCCCUCGUUUCAGUAUUUUAGCACCUCUCAUGGACUCCACCUUAACGUGGUGGAGGGUCUUUGUGACUUCAGAGGGAGCAAACUUACUCCUGUAUGUAUGUAUGUAUGUAUGUAUGUAUGUAUGUAUGUAUGUAUGUAUGUGUGUGUGUGUCUGUGCUCAAAAUGUGUUCCUUCAUAUUAUGCAGCCUUAUGUAGUAUUGGUACAGAGAGCAGUUAUAAGAGGAACCAUGAAACCAAGGGUGUGGCUAGUGAUCCACUGGGAACAGAAGCUCCACUAACAGCUGCCUUAUGAUCCGAUCCACGCAUUAACCUUAACCCUGAUUAACCCUAUAUUGUUUGUUUUAACCUAGCGUUAGUGUAGCAUGUCAUUUUUGGCCACCAGUAGUUACUGUAGGUAGUUAGUUAGAAUGCAGGUCUUUUCACUACAUUAGUAGUUAGAAUGCAGGUCAUUUCACUACGUUAGUAGUUAGAAUGCAGGUAUUUUCAUUACGUUAGUAGUUAGAAUGCAGGUCUUUUCACUUCAUUAGCAGUUAGAAUACUGUCACGUUCUGACCUUAGUUCUUUUGUUAUGUCUUUGUUUUAGUAUGGUCAGGGCGUGAGUUGGGUGGGUUGUCUAUGUUCCUUUUUCUAUGAUUUG